AAUCCAUAGGUUAAUGAGGCGAACCGGGGGAACUGAAACAUCUAAGUACCCCGAGGAAAAGAAAUCAACCGAGAUUCCCCCAGUAGCGGCGAGCGAACGGGGAGGAGCCCAGAGCCUGAAUCAGCAUGUGUGUUAGUGGAAGCGUCUGGAAAGGCGCGCGAUACAGGGUGACAGCCCCGUACACAAAAGCGCAUGUGCUGUGAGCUCGAUGAGUAGGGCGGGACACGUGGUAUCCUGUCUGAAUAUGGGGGGACCAUCCUCCAAGGCUAAAUACUCCUGACUGACCGAUAGUGAACCAGUACCGUGAGGGAAAGGCGAAAAGAACCCCGGCGAGGGGAGUGAAAAAGAACCUGAAACCGUGUACGUACAAGCAGUGGGAGCCCCACCACCAAAGCAUUUGCUGUACCGCGUUGACGGAGCGAAGCGACGUCAAACCGAUAAAACAGCAGUGUAAAGUGAGCCGCAGGGCGCUUUGCGCGACAGCGCAAAGGCAGGCGGUUUCGCGUAGCGAAAGCGAAUGCUUUGGGGUGGGGUGACUGCGUACCUUUUGUAUAAUGGGUCAGCGACUUAUAUUCUGUAGCAAGGUUAACCGAAUAGGGGAGCCGGAGGGAAACCGAGUCUUAAUUGGGCGUUAAGUUGCAGGGUAUAGACCCGAAACCCGGUGAUCUAGCCAUGGGCAGGUUGAAGGUUGGGUAACACUAACUGGAGGACCGAACCGACUAAUGUUGAAAAAUUAGCGGAUGACCUGUGGCUGGGGGUGAAAGGCCAAUCAAACCGGGAGAUAGCUGGUUCUCCCCGAAAGCUAUUUAGGUAGCGCCUCGUGAAUUCAUCUCCGGGGGUAGAGCACUGUUUCGGCUAGGGGGCCAUCCCGGCUUACCAACCCGAUGCAAACUGCGAAUACCGGAGAAUGUUAUCACGGGAGACACACGGCGGGUGCUAACGUCCGUCGUGAAGAGGGAAACAACCCAGACCGCCAGCUAAGGUCCCAAAGUCAUGGUUAAGUGGGAAACGAUGUGGGAAGGCCCAGACAGCCAGGAUGUUGGCUUAGAAGCAGCCAUCAUUUAAAGAAAGCGUAAUAGCUCACUGGUCGAGUCGGCCUGCGCGGAAGAUGUAACGGGGCUAAACCAUGCACCGAAGCUGCGGCAGCGACACUGUGUGUUGUUGGGUAGGGGAGCGUUCUGUAAGCCUGUGAAGGUGUGUCGUGAGGCAUGCUGGAGGUAUCAGAAGUGCGAAUGCUGACAUAAGUAACGAUAAAGCGGGUGAAAAGCCCGCUCGCCGGAAGACCAAGGGUUCCUGUCCAACGUUAAUCGGGGCAGGGUGAGUCGACCCCUAAGGCGAGGCCGAAAGGCGUAGUCGAUGGGAAACGGGUUAAUAUUCCCGUACUUGGUGUUACUGCGAAGGGGGGACGGAGAAGGCUAUGUUGGCCGGGCGACGGUUGUCCCGGUUUAAGCGUGUAGGUGUGUGUUCCAGGUAAAUCCGGUUCACUUUAACACUGAGGCGUGACGACGAGGCACUACGGUGCUGAAGCAACAAAUGCCCUGCUUCCAGGAAAAGCCUCUAAGCAUCAGGUAACAUCAAAUCGUACCCCAAACCGACACAGGUGGUCAGGUAGAGAAUACCAAGGCGCUUGAGAGAACUCGGGUGAAGGAACUAGGCAAAAUGGUGCCGUAACUUCGGGAGAAGGCACGCUGACACGUAGGUGAAGUGAUUUACUCAUGGAGCUGAAGUCAGUCGAAGAUACCAGCUGGCUGCAACUGUUUAUUAAAAACACAGCACUGUGCAAACACGAAAGUGGACGUAUACGGUGUGACGCCUGCCCGGUGCCGGAAGGUUAAUUGAUGGGGUCAGCGCAAGCGAAGCUCCUGAUCGAAGCCCCGGUAAACGGCGGCCGUAACUAUAACGGUCCUAAGGUAGCGAAAUUCCUUGUCGGGUAAGUUCCGACCUGCACGAAUGGCGUAAUGAUGGCCAGGCUGUCUCCACCCGAGACUCAGUGAAAUUGAACUCGCUGUGAAGAUGCAGUGUACCCGCGGCAAGACGGAAAGACCCCGUGAACCUUUACUAUAGCUUGACACUGAACAUUGAGCCUUGAUGUGUAGGAUAGGUGGGAGGCUUUGAAGUGUGGACGCCAGUCUGCAUGGAGCCGACCUUGAAAUACCACCCUUUAAUGUUUGAUGUUCUAACGUGGACCCGUUACCCGGGUUGCGGACAGUGUCUGGUGGGUAGUUUGACUGGGGCGGUCUCCUCCUAAAGAGUAACGGAGGAGCACGAAGGUUGGCUAAUCCUGGUCGGACAUCAGGAGGUUAGUGCAAUGGCAUAAGCCAGCUUGACUGCGAGCGUGACGGCGCGAGCAGGUGCGAAAGCAGGUCAUAGUGAUCCGGUGGUUCUGAAUGGAAGGGCCAUCGCUCAACGGAUAAAAGGUACUCCGGGGAUAACAGGCUGAUACCGCCCAAGAGUUCAUAUCGACGGCGGUGUUUGGCACCUCGAUGUCGGCUCAUCACAUCCUGGGGCUGAAGUAGGUCCCAAGGGUAUGGCUGUUCGCCAUUUAAAGUGGUACGCGAGCUGGGUUUAGAACGUCGUGAGACAGUUCGGUCCCUAUCUGCCGUGGGCGCUGGAGAACUGAGGGGGGCUGCUCCUAGUACGAGAGGACCGGAGUGGACGCAUCACUGGUGUUCGGGUUGUCAUGCCAAUGGCACUGCCCGGUAGCUAAAUGCGGAAGAGAUAAGUGCUGAAAGCAUCUAAGCACGAAACUUGCCCCGAGAUGAGUUCUCCCUGAGACUUAAAGUCUCCUGAAGGAACGUUGAAGACGACGACGUUGAUAGGCCGGGUGUGUAAGCGCAGCGAUGCGUUGAGCUAACCGGUACUAAUGAACCGUGAGGCUUAACCUUACAACGCCGAAG
rnacentral:rRNA from 2 species